rnacentral:rRNA from 1 species
AAAUUGAAGAGUUUGAUCAUGGCUCAGAUUGAACGCUGGCGGCAGGCCUAACACAUGCAAGUCGAACGGUAACAGGAAGCAGCUUGCUGUUUUGCUGACGAGUGGCGGACGGGUGAGUAAUGUCUGGGAAACUGCCUGAUGGAGGGGGAUAACUACUGGAAACGGUGGCUAAUACCGCAUAACGUCGCAAGAC